ensembl:lncRNA
AGAAGCAGACAGAGGAUUAAAAUGAACAGAAGAAAAAUGUUAAGUAGAACAGAUGUGACUCGGGCUCAAACCAGAGACAGAUCGAUUAUCUUGUGACAUACUGGAAAGGCUGGUAAAUAGAGAUUUCAAGCAUAAAACCAAGUAUGAAGAAGAAACAAGCAGACAGCUCCAAGUUCAUUUUUCUUCUGACUGAAGUGUCCUGGCCAGUUCAGACGCCUCUUAGAAAAACAGUGAAUGAAUAACCCUGUGUUUCCCGAGGGAGAGAAGCUCCAUAAGACCUGAAAGAAAAUGAAGUUAAAGGAUUACAGUAUGACCUUGGAAGAAAAACUGCAAUCAGGGACGGUUUUAUCAGAUGAUAGGAAAAAAAAGUCAAGGGAAGAAAAGAAAGCUCUACAGACAAAUUGAAAGAGCCUUCCAAGAAAGCUCAUGUGUAAAAAUAGUUUCGGGAAACAGCAAACCCCACAGGCUUCAGCUCAUUUCACUAGAUCCAGCCUGAUGCACACUCUCACAUCAAUGCAAACAAAAGAG